rnacentral:lncRNA from 1 species
GUUUAUACAGGAAAAGGACCGUAAUUCCUGUAGCUGUUCAUCUAUUUUCCCAUGGAUUCUACCUCUCGUCUUCCACACUUACUUGCUGACUGGUGACAGAUGAGCCCUGGUAUUUGGUGUCUGGAUUAAAUGAUGGCGAAUGACAGUGGCCUAGGAACUGGAAGCCUGGUAUUUUCUGAAACCCAAUUGGAGAGUUUUGUAGUUUGGCUAAAAGGCAUCGCCCUAGAAAAGACGAGCCGAGUGAUCACGGGGCAUUUAUGACAUUGCAGAAUAGCUCCCGAACCAGAGUGAAGCGUAGGGUGGACAGGCCACCAGGGCACUCCAGCUGGUGUGCUGCAGUGUGACACGUCCAACAGCCUACAAAGCUUUUAUUGUCUCCAAACAUCACAACCAAAGCAAGAAACAAGUGGUUUUGCUUACAUUGACAGAAAGUCUGCAAGAACAGAAAGCCUGACACAUUCCAGUUUUAAAAAAGCACAACUGUGCCCCAAGGACGUGGUAUCAUGCGAGGAUCCGAGGCGCGGGGGGCACAGGCUGGAGUCACUCUGGGCGGGGAGGAGGUGGCAGUUGCCCCCGAGCAGCGAUGUGCAGGUCCAGGCUGUCCAUGAAUCUCACCCUGGGCGUGCAGGAAUGAAUAGCUUCAUUUGACAAGGGUCAGAGGUCAAAAGAGGGUCACCCAACCUUAUCACCCUGUUGAGCAACAGGAACAAUGACCCGUAAAAAGUCCUUCUUGGUGGCUGCUGUUGAAUUCAUCACAUAGAAGCACAUCUAGAAACAAAACCAAAAACAGACUAACAGACAACUCCCAAGAAAGCCACAGGGCCGGCAGACAGCUCCUCCAACUAUCUAAACACCAUAAAGCAAUUUCUGGUGACAUAUUUACCCCCUCCCACAGUUCCCUUUCUUGUUUUACAGACAGACAAGGAAUAAUAAUAAUGAUUUUUAAAGAGUAAUACAUUCCUUAAAAUGGCAGGUGGCAAAAUACAAGAACAACAGGCAUAUUCUGAGUGUCCACAGCUUUUUCCUCUUUCAGUAGAGUUUGGAGGCGACUUCUGAUUUAAUGCAUGAACCUGACAGUGACAGCACCCCAGCGGGAGCAGGGAUAGCAGUGGGCUACCUCUCCAUGCUAUUUGGGGGUGCGGCUGCUGUGGGGCAAGGAGAAGGAAAC